rnacentral:rRNA from 1 species
UGAACGCUGGCGGCGUGCCUACUACAUGCAAGUCGAGCGCACAGACGCGGAGCUUGCUCCUCUGACGUUAGCGGCGGACGGGUGAGUAACACGUGGAUAACCUACCUAUAAGACUGGGAUAACUUCGGGAAACCGGAGCUAAUACCGGAUAAUAUAUUGAACCGCAUGGUUCAAUAGUGAAAGACGGUUUUGCUGUCACUUAUAGAUGGAUCCGCGCCGCAUUAGCUAGUUGGUAAGGUAACGGCUUACCAAGGCAACGAUGCGUAGCCGACCUGAGAGGGUGAUAGGCCACACUGGAACUGAGACACGGUCCAGACUCCUACGGGAGGCAGCAGUAGGGAAUCUUCCGCAAUGGGCGAAAGCCUGACGGAGCAACGCCGCGUGAGUGAUGAAGGUCUUCGGAUCGUAAAACUCUGUUAUUAGGGAAGAACAAAUGUGGAAGUAACUAUGCACGUCUUGACGGUACCUAAUCAGAAAGCCACGGCUAACUACGUG